CUAGCAUUUACAGAUAAAUGAUUUCUGAUCGAAAAAAAACUUCAUGUCAAAGUUCUCUAGACGUCCUAAAAAUUUAUAUUUCACUUUCUCGUGGAGACAUUAGACAAGUGACAUGCGUGGAAAAUUCUACAAUUCAAAAAGUAAUCCUGACGUUGCUUGAACAAUUAAAUUUCACGGAGUACAUAAAAUUGUUCGAGCUUGAGGCUCAAUCCCUUGCGAAUGGACAAAUAGUAACUCUUUACCAAAGCAAUAAUAUUACUGACAUUCAAAAUCGGCUUGGACAUCAGUGGCUUGACAAACAUCGACUUUUACUAAAAAUAAGGCAUAUCAAUCAUAUACUCUAUGAACAUGUAAAAGAAAAUGACAAAGAAAUGCUCGAAUUUC